AAUUUAAACUCUUCUCCAGAGUAUCAAUUGGAGGGCAAGUCUGGUGCCAGCAGCCGCGGUAAUUCCAGCUCCAAUAGCGUAUAUUAAAAUUGUUGCAGUUAAAAAGCUCGUAGUUGAAUUUCUGCUACAUUGCCUAUUCUCCUUUACGAGUUUGGGUCUUUUGUGGCUUAUCUGGGUUCGCUUGCGUUCCCGGUGUUUUACUUUGAGAAAAUUAGAGUGCUCAAAGCAGGCUUUUGCCUUGAAUAGUUUAGCAUGGAAUAAUAAAGUAGGACUUUGGUUCUAUUUUGUUGGUUUUAGGUACCAAAGUAAUGGUUAAUAGGAACAGUUGGGGGCAUUCGUAUUUAACUGUCAGAGGUGAAAUUCUUAGAUUUGUUAAAGACGAACUACUGCGAAAGCAUUUGCCAAGGAUGUUUUCAUUAAUCAAGAACGAAAGUUAGGGGAUCGAAGACGAUCAGAUACCGUCGUAGUCCUAACCAUAAACUAUGCCGACUAGAGAUUGGAGGUCGUCAGUUUUUACGACUCCUUCAGCACCUGAGAGAAAUCAAAG
rnacentral:rRNA from 1 species